AACGAACGCUGGCGGCAUGCCUAACACAUGCAAGUCGAACGAAGCCUUCGGGCUUAGUGGCGCACGGGUGCGUAACGCGUGGGAAUCUGCCCUUGGGUUCGGAAUAACAGUUAGAAAUGACUGCUAAUACCGGAUGAUGUCUUCGGACCAAAGAUUUAUCGCCCAAGGAUGAGCCCGCGUAGGAUUAGCUAGUUGGUGAGGUAAAGGCUCACCAAGGCGACGAUCCUUAGCUGGUCUGAGAGGAUGAUCAGCCACACUGGGACUGAGACACGGCCCAGACUCCUACGGGAGGCAGCAGUGGGGAAUAUUGGACAAUGGGCGAAAGCCUGAUCCAGCAAUGCCGCGUGAGUGAUGAAGGCCUUAGGGUUGUAAAGCUCUUUUACCCGGGAUGAUAAUGACAGUACCGGGAGAAUAAGCCCCGGCUAACUCCGUGCCAGCAGCCGCCGUAACAC
rnacentral:rRNA from 1 species